rnacentral:rRNA from 1 species
CAUGCAUGUCUCAGUACAAACCGCUUUAAGGCGAAACCGCGAAUGGCUCAUUAAAUCAGUUAUGGUUCCUUGGAUCUUACCCACACUUACAUGGAUAACUGUGGUAAUUCUAGAGCUAAUACAUGAAUCUCGUACCCCGACCAGUGAUGGAAGGGGUGCUUUUAUUAGAACAAAACCAAUCGGUCGGUCUUCCGUCCGUUGCCUUGGUGACUCUGAAUAACUUUUGGCUGAUCGCACGGUCGUUGCACCGGCGACGCAUCUUUCAAAUGUCUGCCUUAUCAACUUUCGAUGGUAGGUUCUGCGCCUACCAUGGUUGUAACGGGUGACGGGGAAUCAGGGUUCGAUCCCGGAGAGGGAGCCUGAGAAACGGCUACCACAUCCAAGGAAGGCAGCAGGCGCGCAAAUUACCCACUCCCGGAACGGGGAGGUAGUGACGAAAAAUAACGAUACGGGACUCAUCCGAGGCCCCGUAAUCGGAAUGAGAACACUUUAAAUCCUUUAACGAGGAUCUAUUGGAGGGCAAGUCUGGUGCCAGCAGCCGCGGUAAUUCCAGCUCCAAUAGCGUAUAUUAAAGUUGUUGCGGUUAAAAAGCUCGUAGUCGGAGGUGUGUCUCGGACGGUCGGUUCGCCGCUUGUCGGUGCUCAACUGGCCGGUCCGGACGUCCUGCCGGUGGGGCCGCGAGGCUCCGUUAUCCUUCUUUGGUCCUCUUCACCGAGUGCCUUGGUGGGCCGGCACGUUUACUUUGAACAAAUUAGAGUGCUCAAAGCAGGCCGUUGGUCGCCUGAAUACUGUGUGCAUGGAAUAAUGGAAUAGGACCUCGGUUCCAUUUUGUUGGUUUUCAGAACUCGAGGUAAUGAUUAAUAGGGACGGACGGGGGCAUC